GUUCUAUUUCCUGUCUAUUUAUCUUAUAUAGUGUUUAAGGCCUUCUUUUUGUUGUUAGGCACAGCAGCUAGUUCAAAAAAGAUCUCAGCUAUGUGUGCUUCCUGCUAGGGAUGAUAAGAGAAACUCACUUGAUAAUGCUUAGAAAGGGAAGGAAAAAGUGGAUUUUGGAUGAGGCUUUCAUCAAUACGUUUACACACUCUGAUGUUUCAAUGGGCCUUUUAUUUUCAAAAUAAUCUGCUAGAUGUGUGUACGGGAACUGUUGAGUCAUAGCCUGAACCACUGAUAGAGCACCUGGGGAAGGACCCGAUCAGCCCUGGGAGCACAGUUGAAGGCAAUGCAGCUGUGUGACCAGAAGGGGUGGAGCCUGGCUGUGCCUCUCUUAGUCCCCAUUUCAGGGCUGGCUGCCACUGGGGAAGGAUAUUUUCCUGGAGAUCUCUUCUUGGGGAAGCUUUCCCUUGUAAACCUGGAAUCUUUUGAUAUGGUGAGAAUUGAAAAUUGCAAGCCUGCUAUGCGUUCCCUUCCUAUGUCUUCCUGCGAAGUACAGAAGCUAUCUACUUCCAUUGAUAGACUAACAGAGAGCCAUCUUGCCACUGCAACUUAAGAACUCACAG
ensembl:lncRNA